AUCACGCACACACCCUUGUCUCUCUCUCAAAACCCUAUCCUUCAAAAAGAAACCUGCACACCAGAUACCUUCACGCUCUGAUCUCUCUCUAGAACUCAGGAAUUCCGGCAAAGAUCCAUGACAGACGGCCGGUCACCUUGGCGGCGGUCCGGCGAACAGCGCCGCUUUGACUCGCGGCGGCGGAGAUUGCUUCCCGGCAACCGUAUCUCCGACGACAGAUCAGUGAUGCUCUUGCUCUUCACCGGUAAACUCUCACCCCCCCCCUGUGACGUAUGAUACGGACCACCACCACCAUCGUUGUGGUGGUGGUGAGCAAUGACUGGCAUGGUAACGAAACAUGAGACAAAGAGAGGGAAAGAGAGAGAGAGAGGAGGAUGAUCGACAACAGAUGGCGGUGGCAGUGUCUCGACAAAUACCGGCGGCGGUAUUUUUAUUUCGGCGAGUUUCAGUCCGGUAACCCCACGAUUUCCUUUAUCUUCUUAUGUUUUUGUUAUUUUUUUUACAUACCCAAGUUCUCCGGUUAGUGGGGUGUUGUUUCAGGGUGGUUGUGGCUGAGUGAAGGUGGCGGUGAAGUCCCCGGCAGCCGGUGCCGAUAACCGUAUGGCAGCGGCGGUCAGUGGUGGUGCUUGGUUUGGUUGAGGUUCUCUUCAGAUGUGGUUCACUUCCGGUUCAAAUUUUAGGUUUAACCCAGUCAACUUUGUUAUUGUUCGACAAGAAAGCAGGAUGGCGACUCAGUUCAGUCUCGGCUCGGGUUCGAGUUAACUCAGCCAAACGGGUCAGUCGAGUCAACCCGGUCGACUCGGUCAACAUCCGAGUCAACUCGGGUCAACAAGUCAACCUUGAUUUGAUUACGGUACAACUCGGUUCAGUUAUGGUUCAAGCUUGGUUCGAAUCGGUCAACUGGUUUCGGUGCGGGUUACGGGUCGACAAGUCAACACUGGUCAACUGGUCAAACCCCAGUCAACGGCAGUCAACUGUCGGUCAACAGGUCAAACGUGGCCAACACGAAGGACCCGGAAUGCUUUAAUUGCACGCUAGCGAGUUCACAUUCUUGGAAAGACAUCACGGAAUCACACUUAGCUAGCUUUGCACAGGAAUAUCCAGGUUGCAUUUUCAAAACUAUGGAACGGUUGGAAUAGGAGAACCCAU